AUGAAAUUCAAUCCCUUUGUGACUUCUGACCGAAGCAAGAACCACAGACAGUAUGUCAGUACACCUUCUCACACUCAGUAUGUCAGUACACCUUCUCACACUCAGAGAAAGAUCAUGUCUUCUCCUCUUUCCAAAGAGCUGAGGCAAGUAUAAUGUCCAGUCUAUGCCCAUUCGAAAGGAUGGUGAAGUUCAGGUUGCUCAAGGACACCACAAAGGCCAGCAGAUGGCAAAGUAGUCCAAGUGUGCAGGAAGAAAUAGGUCAUGUACAUUGAACAGGUCCAGCGAGAAAGAGCUAAUGGUACAACUGUACAUGUGGGCAUCCACCCCAGCAAGGUGGACAAGGACCACAAGAAGGUCCUGGAGAGGAAAGCCAAGUCCUGACAAGUAGGACAGGAGAAGGGCAAAUACAUGGAAGAAAUGAUGGAGAAGAUGGAGUAG
rnacentral:lncRNA from 1 species